ACCUUCAUUUAAGAAUAAAAAAAAUAGAAUUAAAAAAAAUAUAAACAUAUACUAGAACAAAGAAACAAACUGAAAUACAUUAAUAGCCCUCCCUUUCCCCCAGUCCUUUAGAACUACAUAGAUAGGACUGCAGAACUCCAAAGCAUUAAGAAAGACUGGGGAGGUGCAGGAGGAGAAGGAGAAAGGAGAAGCUAUUCAACAUUUGUUUGAUGGUUUCUUGUAAACAAACAUUUUAGUAGUUUUGCCAAGGUCUCUGUAGCUGGCCUCCUGACAAAAGAAUAACUGUUCAGAGAGAAUCAGCAUGAGGCCAUUCAGCACAAUAAUACUCUUUUGGAGCCUCAUACAAAUGUGGCAGAGAGGGUGGGUGUGCACUACAAAUCAAUCUCUGGGCUUUGACAGGGUGCAUUAUAAAUUGGAAAAGGAGGGGGGGAGUCAGUGGAAACAACAGUUAUCCAGAGAUCCUCAUAAAUACAAAGUUCCAGGCAUCGCAGCCAUGCUGAGUUUGCAGGAUGAUGAACUGAACCAUAAACACCGACUCUGAGCUUUGGCAAGGCAGCAGCACAGCAUUAGGAAUUCUCUCCUCCAUCGGAACCUAACCUUAUUCUGAACUAGAACUCAUACAUGGAAAAUAUAGAUUGGGCCACAGUAGGAGAUUAAAGAAAACAGCACACGGCAGGAUUCUACCAAUGCAUUUCAGAGCUUGAUUUAUGCCUAUUUUCAGGUAACAACUAAAAUGAAUCCAAUUCUAAAAAGCUUGAAUCUUCAUGUUGUGAGAAGAAUGCAUUAUUAAGUAUUUAUUGCCACUAUCAGCGAGUUACUUGAAUUAUGUUCUUAAAAGGAAGAUGCUCUUUUAAAGUAAAGCUCCCAUAAAAGAAAGUUCAUUUAGGCUUUUACUCAGUUCUCAUUACAAGGUAUACCAAGGAUUCUUCACAUUAAAGAAUUUGAUCUAUAGAUAGAAGCGAGGAAAACAAGUUAAAAAUUAAAAGCAAAGGUUGGUUGAAGUACUGCAUUUCAUUAACAAGUCCUGAGAGUAAUUGAUCAGCAGCAAUUAUGCACUAAGCUGUCACUAAAUUAUGAAAAUAAACCUCUUCUGUACAGAAGUCAGCUAAUCUUUCUAUUUAUAAUACCCCCCACCAUUCUUCUACAGGCAAUUUCUUCUCAUGGGAAAAAGCCAGAGGAAUCUGUCCAAUGGGUAAUCACACGCAGCCAGUGGCGAGUCUGACUUCCCUUCUAAAAAUCUCAGGACAGAACAGACUUCAAAGCGCAGCAGCAAAACUCCACAUUCAUCAGAGCCUACUGACAAGAUUUCAUCCCAGCUAUUAACCUCUCAGCACUCUGAGCCUGGCUCACAAUGGUAAAGGAACAGAAAGAUUUAACUAAUCCUAUUCUAAAGAAUGCUUGACUUUUGCCUACUGAUCGAAGAAAGCAGGGGUGGGAGGGAGAAAGGGGGAAAUGUGAGUGAAAGAGAGAAAAGAGAAGAGAGAAAAGCCACACUGUACUUCAAGCUUGUAGUUGAAACAGCCUAUUAAUCAGGAUAGUGGAGGGGAAAAAAAAAACCCAACCAAAAAUAAAAA